UUAAACAUAAAAAGAAAUAAAAUAGAUAAUAGAUAGAGAAGUGGAGAAGUCGACAAAUGCUAAAACUUUACCCGGAUUUCGACUUCUCCCAAAAUUAAAUCCUCAUUUUGACUUCUCAAUGGAAUUGCAAGUUUUUGAAUCAACUGAUAUAGACCCAAUUUCAAGUUGUGAGGCUCCUGAGUAUGUUUUAGGUGGAAGCAAUGAAGGUAGAUUGGGUUUUGGAGUUGCUGGUACUUCACAAGAUCAUCACGAUGAUGGUGGUGGCCAGAGUCGAAGGAUUGAUCGUGAAAAUGGUCUCAUUUUGGGGGCCUAGAGAGAUGAUUCUGGCUCUGUUGUUGGCUUUAACUUGAUCCCUCCAUUUGUGGUCAAUGAAUUCCAUGACCCUUCUGCCCAAGUCAAAGUUGAAGAAGAGUCCCAUGCUUUUCAAGAGAUUUUACUCUUGGCUAAUAUAUAAGAUGGGUUCAUUAUUGAAGAAGAUGAGUAUGCACCAUAUGUACAAGAAGAGAGACAAAUGAAUAUGCCACAAGAUCCAAGUAGAUGGUGGGCAUCUGUCACUUUGUUAUGCAUCCAAGGGGUUACCGAGAAUGAAGAUGCUUCCAUAUAUGAUAGUGAUUUCAAUAGUUUGUGUAGUGAUGAGGAUGAGUGUGACCAAAAGAGGAGCAAGAAAGAGUACAAUCCAAAGAAUGUAGAAUUCAUCACGUUCAAAUUCUGUUUGGGGAUGGAAUUUGCCACUGUUGAGCAACUCAGACAUGCUCUAAAAAAGCACUUUAUUGGCAAUGAUAGGGAGUUUCUGGUUGUCAUUAAUGAUCAAUUAAGAGUUCGAGCAAAGUGUAGAGGCAAAGGUUGUCCAUGGGUGUUAUAUGCAAGACAACAAAAAGGUGUGGACAACAAGAGUUUUAGAGUUAACACUCUAGUUUAUCGACAUGAAUGUGGCAUUGUUUUAAACGACAGGCAUGUGGAUUCCACAUGGCUAGGGAAUCAAUUUUUAAAACAAUUUCGUAUGAAUCCCAACAUGAGUUUCAAAUGUUGUAACGAGAUUACUUCGAAGGGUAAAUAUGCAAAUACAACCAGUGAUGCGUUCUACAGAGCAAAGAAAGUUGCUACAGAAAUUCUUGAAGGAGCAAUAUGCAAUUCUAGAAGAUUACUGUAACCAAAUUCGAGCAACUAACCCUGGUUCUACUACUAUACUUAAUACUAGGAUGGAAGGGGACAAGAGACACUUUGAAAGAGUUUAUAUUUGUCUACAGGCAUGCAAAGAAGGAUUCAACAGAGGAUGCAGGCCAUUGAUUGGUGUAGAUGGUAGCUUUCUUAAAGGCUAUUGCAAGGGGCAUGUUGUUAGUAGAAAUUGGAAUUGAUGCAGUCAAUGCAAUGUUCCCAAUUGCUUAUGCUGUAGUGGAGAAGGAGAACAAAUCAAGUUGGACUUCGUUCCUUGAAUUAGUGAAAGAGGAUUUACAAAUCCAAAAUCCACAAAGCUUUUGUAUGCUAAGUGACAGGAAAAAAGGCCUUGAAAUGCUUUGGAGAAGUUAUUUGAAGGUGCUAAAGUUAGAUUGUGUGUUAGGCAUUUACAUGCCAACUUCAAGAAAGAUUACCCUGGUUUGCUACUUAAGCAAAUGUUGUGGGCAGCACCAAGGGACACCACCAAAGAAGAAUGGCGAAGGAGAAUGUAUGCUUGAAACAAAUCAGCGAGCCUGCAUACACUUAGUUGUCCAAUAAGGCACCUAUAGAGUGGACCAAGUCCCAUUUCAAGGAGCAUGUGAAGUAUGGUAUGCUUUGAAAUAAUCUAUGUGAGAGCUUCAACGCAGCAAUAAUAGGCUCUAGGGACAAGACUAUUAUAAUCUUGUUGGAGAAAAUAAGGUAUUGGCUCAUGCGCAGAUUUUGUACUAAGAGGGGAAGUGUUAAAAAGUGGGUGCAUCUGGUUGGCAAGAGGAUCUUGGACAUUAUUGAGAAGAACAAAAAAGUGGCAAGGCAUUGUCUCCCAACCAUGUCCACCUUAACUACAUUUGAGGUAAAUUUCAUGAACAUAGAAGUCUUUGUUGUGGAUUUGUACAAGCGAACUUGCGCAUGUAGGAGUUUCCAGUUGAAUGGAAUACCUUGUGGUCAUGCACUAGCAUGUAUUUGAUUUAGCAACCUAUAUUUCAUGAAUUUCAUAGAUGAUUUCUACAAGAAAUUUGCAUUUGAAGCAACCUAUUAAGGAGCAAUUCUACUCAGAAUCCUCAUAAAUGGUCUAUGACUACUCAUAAUCCUAUAUUACCAACCCUAGAAACUUUAAUGCCAGGAUAACCC